CGGGGCAGAUCUGAGAACACAAAGAAUACUACAGUGACUCUUCAUGUGAAAAUUACCGAAAUAUGGAUGUAAAGAUAUGGUGGAUAAUUUCACGAGUGACCAUCAUGCGAGUUACCAACUCCAAAUUGAUAUCACUGCCCUCAAUGAGAUCUGCUUUCCCGUGGACAGACAGAUGAAGGAGUAAGCAGUUGAUACAACUUCUACAGGAAAGGUGAGGAUAUACUGCCAAAUGUGAAAACAAGAACAAAGGUGAUGUAAAUGAAGAAAUAGUGAAUACCUGCAGGAAAGUUUGGUGCCUCACACACUUGGUGGAGCAAUGAUUUGCUGCAUUAAAAGAUUAAAGAUCUGUUACAUCACAACGAUACAUGGAAUCUCCUGACAGUUCACUGAAGGGGAAAUGCAAUCCAAAAGAUGAUGGCAACAUAUAUGAAUAGGCCAAAAAGACACAGAAACAUAGAAAACAGGGGCAUGUGUAGGCUACUGAAACCUCCCACCCCUGGGCUUGUUCUGCUAUUCAAUAUGAUCAUGGCUGAUCCUCCAACUCAGUCCCUUGUUCCUAUUUUCUCUUCUUUGAUACCAUUAGCAUAAAAAAAAUCUAACUUGUCAUUGACCACUAUAGUCACUAUGCCUAGGCCCAGU